rnacentral:rRNA from 1 species
ACUAGAAGCCGAUGAAGGACGUUACUAACGACGAUAUGCUUUGGGGAGCUGUAAGUAAGCUUUGAUCCAGAGAUUUCCGAAUGGGGAAACCCAGCAUGAGUUAUGUCAUGUUAUCGAUAUGUGAAUACAUAGCAUAUCAGAAGGCACACCCGGAGAACUGAAACAUCUUAGUACCCGGAGGAAGAGAAAGAAAAUUCGAUUCCCUUAGUAGCGGCGAGCGAAACGGGAAGAGCCCAAACCAACAAGCUUGCUUGUUGGGGUUGUAGGACACUCURUACGGAGUUACAAAGGACGACAUUAGACGAAUCAUCUGGAAAGAUGAAUCAAAGAAGGUAAUAAUCCUGUAGUCGAAAAUGUUGUCUCUCUUGAGUGGAUCCUGAGUACGACGGAGCACGUGAAAUUCCGUCGGAAUCUGGGAGGACCAUCUCCUAAGGCUAAAUACUCUCUAGUGACCGAUAGUGAACCAGUACCGUGAGGGAAAGGUGAAAAGCACCCCGGAAGGGGAGUGAAAUAGAACCUGAAACCGUGUGCUUACAAGUAGUCAGAGCCCGUUAAUGGGUGAUGGCGUGCCUUUUGUAGAAUGAACCGGCGAGUUACGAUUUGAUGCAAGGUUAAGCAGUAAAUGUGGAGCCGUAGCGAAARCGAGUCUGAAUAGGGCGUUUAGUAUUUGGUCGUAGACCCGAAACCAGGUGAUCUACCCUUGGUCAGGUUGAAGUUCAGGUAACACUGAAUGGAGGACCGAACCGACUUACGUUGAAAAGUGAGCGGAUGAACUGAGGGUAGCGGAGAAAUUCCAAUCGAACCUGGAGAUAGCUGGUUCUCUCCGAAAUAGCUUUAGGGCUAGCCUCAAGUGAUGAUUAUUGGAGGUAGAGCACUGUUUGGACGAGGGGCCCCUCUCGGGUUACCGAAUUCAGACAAACUCCGAAUGCCAAUUAAUUUAACUUGGGAGUCAGAACAUGGGUGAUAAGGUCCGUGUUCGAAAGGGAAACAGCCCAGACCACCAGCUAAGGUCCCAAAAUAUAUGUUAAGUGGAAAAGGAUGUGGCGUUGCCCAGACAACUAGGAUGUUGGCUUAGAAGCAGCCAUCAUUUAAAGAGUGCGUAAUAGCUCACUAGUCGAGUGACACUGCGCCGAAAAUGUACCGGGGCUAAACAUAUUACCGAAGCUGUGGAUUGUCCUUUGGACAAUGGUAGGAGAGCGUUCUAAGGGCGUUGAAGCAUGAUCGUAAGGACAUGUGGAGCGCUUAGAAGUGAGAAUGCCGGUGUGAGUAGCGAAAGACGGGUGAGAAUCCCGUCCACCGAUUGACUAAGGUUUCCAGAGGAAGGCUCGUCCGCUCUGGGUUAGUCGGGUCCUAAGCUGAGGCCGACAGGCGUAGGCGAUGGAUAACAGGUUGAUAUUCCUGUACCACCUAUAAUCGUUUUAAUCGAUGGGGGGACGCAGUAGGAUAGGCGAAGCGUGCGAUUGGAUUGCACGUCUAAGCAGUAAGGCUGAGUAUUAGGCAAAUCCGGUACUCGUUAAGGCUGAGCUGUGAUGGGGAGAAGACAUUGWGUCUUCGAGUCGUUGAUUUCACACUGCCGAGAAAAGCCUCUAGAUAGAAAAUAGGUGCCCGUACCGCAAACCGACACAGGUAGUCAAGAUGAGAAUUCUAAGGUGAGCGAGCGAACUCUCGUUAAGGAACUCGGCAAAAUGACCCCGUAACUUCGGGAGAAGGGGUGCUCUUUAGGGUUAACGCCCAGAAGAGCCGCAGUGAAUAGGCCCAAGCGACUGUUUAUCAAAAACACAGGUCUCUGCUAAACCGUAAGGUGAUGUAUAGGGGCUGACGCCUGCCCGGUGCUGGAAGGUUAAGAGGAGUGGUUAGCUUCUGCGAAGCUACGAAUCGAAGCCCCAGUAAACGGCGGCCGUAACUAUAACGGUCCUAAGGUAGCGAAAUUCCUUGUCGGGUAAGUUCCGACCCGCACGAAAGGCGUAACGAUUUGGGCACUGUCUCAACGAGAGACUCGGUGAAAUCAUAGUACCUGUGAAGAUGCAGGUUACCCGCGACAGGACGGAAAGACCCCGUGGAGCUUUACUGUAGCCUGAUAUUGAAAUUCGGCACAGCUUGUACAGGAUAGGUAGGAGCCUUUGAAACGUGAGCGCUAGCUUACGUGGAGGCGCUGGUGGGAUACUACCCUAGCUGUGUUGGCUUUCUAACCCGCACCACUUAUCGUGGUGGGAGACAGUGUCARGCGGGCAGUUUGACUGGGGCGGUCGCCUCCUAAAAGGUAACGGAGGCGCUCAAAGGUUCCCUCAGAAUGGUUGGAAAUCAUUCAUAGAGUGUAAAGGCAUAAGGGAGCUUGACUGCGAGACCUACAAGUCGAGCAGGGUCGAAAGACGGACUUAGUGAUCCGGUGGUUCCGCAUGGAAGGGCCAUCGCUCAACGGAUAAAAGCUACCCCGGGGAUAACAGGCUUAUCUCCCCCAAGAGUUCACAUCGACGGGGAGGUUUGGCACCUCGAUGUCGGCUCAUCGCAUCCUGGGGCUGUAGUCGGUCCCAAGGGUUGGGCUGUUCGCCCAUUAAAGCGGUACGCGAGCUGGGUUCAGAACGUCGUGAGACAGUUCGGUCCCUAUCCGUCGUGGGCGUAGGAAAUUUGAGAGGAGCUGUCCUUAGUACGAGAGGACCGGGAUGGACAUACCUCUGGUGUACCAGUUGUCGUGCCAACGGCAUAGCUGGGUAGCUAUGUGUGGACGGGAUAAGUGCUGAAAGCAUCUAAGCAUGAAGCCCCCCUCAAGAUGAGAUUUCCCAACUUCGGUUAUAAGAUCCCUCAAAGAUGAUGAGGUUAAUAGGUUCGAGGUGGAAGCAUGGUGACAUGUGGAGCUGACGAAUACUAAUCGAUCGAAGACUUAAUCAA